rnacentral:tRNA from 1 species
GCCCCGGUAGCUCAGCGGUAGUUUCGAACGAAACAUGCUCCGCAUGUUUCAGCCGCCAAAGAGCGCUCGGCUGUUAACCGAAAGGUCGCAGGUUCAAAUUCCGUUUGUCACGCUUGUCGUGACUUUCGCUGGUCAUCCUGCCCGGGGCG